AAAAAUCUUACUAUUAUAUUUGUAUCAAAAUUUGUAUAAGUGUUUUAUAACUUAUGCAGCCUCUCUGCUCGAAGGGGUGUAGCAUUGGAAACAAUGGUACUACGAAUUGUAGCAAGGUGCGAAACGACCUUUAACAGUUUUGGUGGUGUCCUGAGUGGGUACUUUGUAGAUGGUAAACAUAGAAAGUAAGCUAUGCCAUUAGUUGCUGGGCAGGACUAGCAACAGCAAGCGAAUUAGCUUGAUAUAAAGUAAGC
rnacentral:sRNA from 12 species